AAUGAACGCUGGCGGCGUGCUUAACACAUGCAAGUCGAACGAGAAAGGGAUUGCUUGCAAUCCCGAGUAGAGUGGCGCACGGGUGAGUAACACGUGGAUAAUCUACCUUUGAAUCCGGGAUAACUGCUCGAAAGGGUAGCUAAUACCGAAUGAAGUCAACAUUUCUUCGGGAGUAUUGAUGAAAGACAGCCUCUACAUGUAAGCUGUUGUUUGAAGAUGAGUCCGCGCACCAUUAGUUUGUUGGUGGGGUAACGGCCUACCAAGACUGUGAUGGUUAGCUGGUCUGAGAGGAUGAUCAGCCACACUGGAACUGACACACGGUCCAG
rnacentral:rRNA from 1 species